rnacentral:rRNA from 1 species
UACGGGGGGAGCAAGCGUUGUUCGGAUUUACUGGGCGUAAAGGGCGCGUAGGCGGCCACUGCAAGUCGGUUGUGAAAUCUCCGGGCUUAACCCGGAAAGGUCAACCGAUACUGCAGGGCUAGAGUGCAGAAGGGGCAACUGGAAUUCUCGGUGUAGCGGUGAAAUGCGUAGAUAUCGAGAGGAACACCUGCGGCGAAAGCGACUUUCUGGGCCAUUCCUGACGCUGAGGUUCGAAAGCUCGGGGAGCAAACAGG